rnacentral:rRNA from 1 species
UACGGAGGAUCCAAGCGUUAUCCGGAAUCAUUGGGUUUAAAGGGUCCGCAGGCGGAAAAAUAAGUCAGUGGUGAAAUCUCACAGCUCAACUGUGAAACUGCCAUCGAUACUGUUUUUCUUGAAUUCGGUCGAAGUGGGCGGAAUGUGACAUGUAGCAGUGAAAUGCUUAGAUAUGUCACAGAACACCGAUAGCGAAGGCAGCUCACUAGGUCUGGAUUGACGCUCAGGGACGAAAGCGUGGGGAGCAAACAGG